UCCCCUUCUUCCUCUGGGAGGAAAGGAGGAUGUGUUAGAGGCAAUUUUGGUAACAGCCCAGCGGUUAGGAUCGAAGGGUUUGAUUGCCUUGACAGGGACAGUAGAAACUGCAGCAUCCCUGCCUUGGCUUAGAAACCAAACCAACCUCGAAAACGCAUCUACGUUUGUUGCUGCUCUAGUUUAUGUAGACGACAUCCUCAUUGUGGGGAAUGAUGAUGCGGCUGUUGAGAACUUCAAAGAUUCUCUAAAACAGGCGUUCAAACUCAGAGAUCUUGGAGAUGCGAAAUACUUUCUUGGUUUUGAAAUUGCGAGGAAUGCCACUGGAAUUUCGAUCAACCAACGGAAGUAUACUCUGGAACUUCUUCAGGAUGCUGGCUACUUGGGCUGCAAGCCAGUCUCGGUUCCCAUGGAACCUAACUCCAAGUUAUCUGAUUCUUCUGGUGAUCUUCUUCCUGAUCCUUCAGUUUACCGGAAGUUGGUUGGCAAACUACUUUACUUGACUCACACGCGACCGGAUAUUACCUAUGCGGUUCAUAAACUCAGUCAGUUUAUGUCUACUCCUCGCGUUGAUCAUCUCAAAGCAGCUCAGCGUGUUCUUCGUUAUCUCAAGAAUGAUCCUGCACAGGGAUUGUUUUAUUCUGCUUCUUCCACAGUGAGCUUGACUGCUUUUUGUGAUGCAGAUUGGGCUUCAUGCCCUGACUCUCGCCGUUCAACUACAGGGUACUGUGUCUUCUUAGGAGAUUCACUCAUCUCCUGGCGCGCCAAGAAGCAAGCAACGGUUUCUCGAAGUAGCUCCGAAGCAGAAUACCGCUCAAUGGCAGACACUACUUGUGAACUCAUCUGGAUUGCAGCUUUGCUUCGCGAUCUGCAUUGUCCUUUGACUGGUCCUGCUACAUUAUACUGUGAUAACCAGUCGGCUUUGCACAUUGCGUCAAAUCCUGUCUAUCAUGAGCGGACCAAACACAUCGAAAUUGAUUGCCAUGUUGUUCGGGAACGUUUGCAGAGUGGUUUUCUGAAGACUAUGCACGUCAAAUCUGCUCAUCAACUUGCUGAUGUCUUUACGAAAGCUGUUCAACCUGCUCUGUUUCAUCAGCUCAUUCUCAAGAUGGGUCUUCACCACUUGUUUGCUCCAUCUUGAGGGGGGGAUAUUAAAGUUAUAACCGGUUAUUAGAAUCUGGUUUAAGUUGGUUUAAGUUUCCUUUUGCUUAACCAGCUGUAUAUAUAUAUGAUUGUAAGUGUACAGUGAUAGUUUGAGCUGAAUAAUACAUUUUUACACUUUCAUAACAAACUAUCUUCUCUCUCGAUUCAUCACCUUCAUCACAUCUAAUAUACCCUUUAUUAAUUUCCUCCUCUCCUCUCCUCUCUACAAUUAUCAAAUCCAUGAUCUAGCUCUGCUGUACAGUUAACCUUAAGGUAACCUUCUCUCUCUCUCUGUUCUCUGCCAUAGAUUCUCUUAGAUCAGCGAAUCUGUUUCCGGUUUGAUCUAUAGAUCUGUGAAUUAUUUGGUCUCGUGUUCGUGGAACUGAAUCGAAUCGAAUCGAAUCUCUGUAAUCAUUUCGAUUCUACGUGAUUGCUAUUGGAAGAUUUAGUCAGAUCUGAUCUAUUCAAAUUUUGUUGAACAGGUAUUCAAAAUUAUCAUUUAAUUGUUGGGAAGAAACGAUGAAUCAGUGGGCGAUUCAGCCAAAGGCUUUCGCUGCGGGAGGAGAACAGAGUGUUGUAGUUUGCCCAAAACCACGUCGUAUUGGUCUCCGUAACCAUGCCCCACGUCGUAUUGGCUUCAGCCAGCAAGUUGAAUCCAAGGCAGAGACUGAUGAUAUCUUAGAUAUCAUACUCACCAAGGUAUAAUCUAUUUUUUUGGUAGUUCAAAUUUGAUUAUCAAACCGGUUACGUCUUGGUUCAUCUUAACCAACAAAUCAGUAGAAAGUCGGUUUCUCUCUUUCUCUAUAUUAAUUAUUAUUAUAAUAUUUCAGAAACGGAAAAAUAUAUAGAGAGUAAUCGUGUACGUAUCUUGAUUUAAAGAACACACAUGUUGCGCGUUGAGCCUUGUCGAAAGUUUAUUUUUUUUUCAUAAAAUAAGACGUCUCGUGUUAAAUCCUUACAGCACAUACGUGGGCCUGUUUCUUACCUUUUUUUUAUAAAUAUAUAUAAUAUGCGUCUUUUCUUGAAACCAUUUAGCCACUCGAUGAUGCUUUUAGUAAUCAAUCACUCACUCUCUCACGCGUCAUCAAAGCUGUUUGAACUGAUGAUGUCUUUGUUGUGUGGUGGUUACAGGAACAAGUUAAUCAUUCGCAGGUAUUAGACUCGCCGUCCCCGUUUUUAUGUGGGUCGCCGCCGAGUAGAGUCGCUAACCCAUUAACACAGGAUGCUCGUUUCAGAGAUGAAAUCAAGCUGGUCUCUUCUUCCCCGAUCACGACUCCGCUGGGCCAUCCUCCGUCGUCCCCUUCUUCCUCUGGGAGGAAAGGAGGAUGUGUUAGAGGCAAUUUUGGUAACAGCCCAGCGGUUAGGAUCGAAGGGUUUGAUUGCCUUGACAGGGACAGUAGAAACUGCAGCAUCCCUGCCUUGGCUUAGAAACCAAACCAACCUCGAAAACGCAUCUACUCUGUUGAAUUAUUAACUCAUGAAAACCAAUUUAGUGCGUCCGUACAUAUAUGAGUUUAAGGAUAUGGAGAUGUGUGGGAUAUAAUCUUUGAGGGAAGUGAGAUCAAUCUUUUGGAGUUUGGCUGUUUUGUUUUU
rnacentral:lncRNA from 1 species